AAAGGUUGACCUCGGAUCAGGUAGGAAUACCCGCUGAACUUAAGCAUAUCAAUAAGCGGAGGAAAAGAAACCAACAGGGAUUGCCUUAGUAGCGGCGAGCGAAGCGGCAACAGCUCAAAUUUGAAAUCUGGCUACUUUGUAGUCCGAGUUGUAAUUUGCAGAGGAUGCUUUUGGUGAGGUGCCUUCCGAGUUCCCUGGAACGGGACGCCAGAGAGGGUGAGAGCCCCGUACGGUUGGACACCAAACCUUUGUAUAGCUCCUUCAACGAGUCGAGUAGUUUGGGAAUGCUGCUCUAAAUGGGAGGUAUAUCUCUUCUAAAGCUAAAUACCGGCUAGAGACCGAUAGCGCACAAGUAGAGUGAUCGAAAGAUGAAAAGCACUUUGAAAAGAGAGUUAAACAGCACGUGAAAUUGUUGAAAGGGAAGCGCCUAUGACCAGACUUGUUUCUGUCAGUUUUGCUUGUUUUCGGACUUGUUUACUCUGUCAGUACAGGCCAACAUCAGUUUGUUGUUUGGGAGAAAGGCUUAGGGAAUGUGGCUCCCUCGGGAGUGUUAUAGCCCUUUGCAUAAUACCAUUCGGCAGACUGAGGACCGCGCUUCGGCAAGGAUGUUGGCGUAAUGGUCAUCAGCGACCCGUCUUGAAACACGGACCAAGGAGUCAACCUUAUGUGCGAGUGUUUGGGUGUAAAACCCCAGCGCGUAAUGAACGUGAACGUAGGUGAGAGCUUCGGCGCAUCAUCGACCGAUUCUGAUGUUCUCGGAUGGAUUUGAGUAAGAGCAUAUAGGGUUGGACCCGAAAGAAGGUGAACUAUGCUUGUAUAGGGUGAAGCCAGAGGAAACUCUGGUGGAGGCUCGCAGCGGUUCUGACGUGCAAAUCGAUCGUCAAAUAUGAGCAUGGGGGCGAAAGACUAAU
rnacentral:rRNA from 1 species